rnacentral:pre_miRNA from 1 species
UUACUACUCCCUCCGUCUGGAAAUACUUGUCGGAGAAAUGGAUGUAUCUAGACAUAUUUUAAUUCUAGAUACAUCCAACUUUAUCCAUUUUUGCGACAAGUAAUUCCGGACAGAGGGAGUACUUA